rnacentral:rRNA from 1 species
GCGGCGAACGGGUGAGUAACACGUGGGCAACCUGCCCUCAGCUCUGGGAUAACUCCAAGAAAUUGGUGCUAAUACCGGAUGUGACCGCUGACCGCAUGGUCUGGUGGUGGAAAGAUUCAUCGGCUGAGGAUGGGCCCGCGGCCUAUCAGCUUGUUGGUGGGGUGAUGGCCUACCAAGGCGACGACGGGUAGCCGGCCUGAGAGGGUGACCGGCCACACUGGGACUGAGACACGGCCCAGACUCCUACGGGAGGCAGCAGUGGGGAAUAUUGCGCAAUGGGCGAAAGCCUGACGCAGCGACGCCGCGUGAGGGAUGACGGCCUUCGGGUUGUAAACCUCUUUCAGUAGGGACGAAGCGCAAGUGACGGUACCUACAGAAGAAGCACCGGCCAACUACGUGCCAGCAGCCGCGGUAAUACGUAGGGUGCAAGCGUUGUCCGGAAUUAUUGGGCGUAAAGAGCUCGUAGGCGGUCUGUCGCGUCGGCUGUGAAAACCCGAGGCUCAACCUCGGGCCUGCAGUCGAUACGGGCAAACUAGAGUACUGCAGGGGAGACUGGAAUUCCUGGUGUAGCGGUGAAAUGCGCAGAUAUCAGGAGGAACACCGGUGGCGAAGGCGGGUCUCUGGGCAGUAACUGACGCUGA